rnacentral:rRNA from 1 species
AGGUAGGGAUACCCGCUGAACUUAAGCAUAUCAAUAAGCGGAGGAAAAGAAACCAACAGGGAUUGCCUUAGUAACGGCGAGUGAAGCGGCAAAAGCUCAAAUUUGAAAUCUGACACCUUCGGUGUUCGAGUUGUAAUUUGGAGAGGCAUCUUCUGGAGGGGCCCAGCCUAUGUGCCUUGAAACAGGACGUCAUAGAGGGUGAGAAUCCCGUACUUGGCUGGAUGUUCCCUCCUGUAUGUAGUGUCUUCUACGAGUCGAGUUGUUUGGGAAUGCAGCUCAAAAUGGGUGGUAAAUUUCAUCUAAAGCUAAAUAUUGGCGAGAGACCGAUAGCGCACAAGUAGAGUGAUCGAAAGAUGAAAAGCACUUUGAAAAUAGAGUCAAACAGUACGUGAAAUUGUUGAAGGGGAAGCGCUUAGGACCAGACUCGGCCAGUGGUGNACAUCUGCCCACCCGGGCGGUGUACUCGCUGUUGGUCGGGCCAGCAUGGGUUGGGACAGUGGGAUAAAGGCUUGGGAAAUGUGACUCCUUUAUGGAGUGUUAUAGUCCCGGGUGGCAUGCCAUUAGUCCCGACU